rnacentral:misc_RNA from 1 species
GAUGAAGAACGUAGCGAAAUGCGAUACGUAAUGUGAAUUGCAGAAUUCAGUGAAUCAUCGAAUCUUUGAACGCAUAUUGCGCUCUCUGGUAUUCCGGAGAGCAUGCUUGUUUGAGUAUCAGUAAACACCUCAACUCCCCUUUCUUUUUUGAAAUGGGAGCUGGACUUGAGUGAUCCCAACGCUUUUCUCACCGAAAAGUGGCGGGUUACUUGAAAUGCAGGUGCAGCUGGACUUUUCUCUGAGCUAAAAGCAUAUCUAUUUAGUCUGCCUAAAAACAGAUUAUUACCUUUGCUGCAGCUAACAUAAAGGAGAUUAGUUCUUGUGCUGACUGAUGCAGGAUUCACAAAGACAGGCUUCGGCCGACUUUGUAAACUCGAUCUCAAAUCAAGUAAGACUACCCGCUGAACUUAAGCAUAUCAAUAAGCGGAGGA